CAGCCGCCACGGUAAUACAGAGGGUGCAAGCGUUAAUCGGAAUUACUGGGCGUAAAGCGCGCGUAGGUGGUUCGCCAAGUUGGAUGUGAAAUCCCCGGGCUCAACCUGGGAACUGCAUCCAAAACUGGCGAGCUGGAGUAUGGUAGAGGGUGGUGGAAUUUCCUGUGUAGCGGUGAAAUGCGUAGAUAUAGGAAGGAACAUCAGUGGCGAAGGCGACCACCUGGACUGAUACUGACACUGAGGUGCGAAAGCGUGGGGAGCAAACAGGAUUAGAUACCCCUGUAGUCCCUGUCUCUUAUAC
rnacentral:rRNA from 1 species